ensembl:lncRNA
AAGAAACCAGAGUGACAGACUUGAGCAGAUGCUAUAACCUUGGGACGAUUGUAUGAGAUGAGUACUACUCCAGGUCAGAAUGAUACUUGAGCACUACAGAUGAGAUGAUGCAAAAAAAGGUUUGAAGUAAUAUGCACUACAACACGUCAUCUAUCAGAAAGAGGGAGCAUACCUGAAGCUAUCAGUAGUGCAAAAUUUAUGAGAUGCAAAGUCCUCUCCAUGCUAAAAAAAGGUGUGAAGAGACUAAUGAAAAUUUAAGUGGAGAACUGAACAAAGAUAUCUAUCCGAACGCAUCAGCAAGCUGAUGAAUGUAAGUCCCAGUCCUGGGCCCACCAGAGUUAAGACUUUGGCUUUUGCAAAUAGCCAGACGUCCUCAGGCACUGUGAUCACAGGACUUUACAAGUGAGGAUCAGUAUGUAAUAGUACAGUGUGAGCAGCAGAACAGAACCAACAAAAGUUCCCCACAGCUUGACCUGAGCAAGGCAACACCUGCUGGAAGCACAGAGCUCCCAUGAAGGAAACUCUCCUGGAAUCCUCAUGGGAAACUAACUUUGCCUUUGUAUGCUAUUCAUGCUUUUCUCCUGAGCAAGAGCAUGGUGAUAACUUCUGCUGGCCAAUGGAGGCAUUUUGCUUCUGUGGAACGUUUUCCAGAAGGACUUCAAAGACUUCAGAUGGAAUUUCAACUGGGUUUGGUUAUAGAUACAAGUGAGGAACUGACAUUUCUCAAAUACUGACAUGAAAAAGAGAAAGAAAAAAAAAGAUUCUGUGUGUGAAUGUGAGCCGGGGAGAGAAUGGCAAACACUGAAUGCUGUUCUGGACAAGAGAAGGCCCGGCUUUAUCAAAAGAUUUACUCAAAGUCACAGAGCCAAAGCUGAGUCCCAGCUCUCUCCACAGCAUAAAUUUUGGUGGGCAUGCUGGAAUUUCCUUGUGCGGCAUAUGGUAAUCCUUUACCUGAAGGCUCGCUCCAAAUAAAUGUUUACAUUCCUCUGACAGCUCACUUGAAAUGUAAAGGAACAAGACUAAUGAAAGAAUAUCACAGCAAUGAGGGAUAAGCACUCUGAAGUAGUAAAUAAGGUUUUAUUUUACAGGAGGUGUGUAAGGAAGUUUCAAGUAAGCCAUAUGUUCAGAUGUUAAGAGGAAUGUUGCAACUGAAUCUGUAUAAGCACUAUGGUUCCCGGAGAGAUCACAGCUCCAUUGUCUGUUGAGUACUGGUGAAUGUCCAAGGUGAGAAAGCUGAGUUCAGAAACACCAUUUUUUGGCAACUUUUUUCAGUACGUAUUUGAGAAGCAUUGUGCGAACUCCAUGCACCAGACUUGGUGUUGUGCCAGUAUCUUGGAG